rnacentral:lncRNA from 1 species
AUGACAAAGGGAGUGUCAUCAUCUAGAAAGUGGUGCGAUAAGAUGCACAGCUAGUGCUGCCCUGUGACUCUAACUCCUUCAAAAGUCCGCCUGUGGCAAACGCGGCUACCCUCCCAAGCCAAGAUAAAGUAUAAUUGGAGUGCCGAGGCUAAAAAAUAUACCAGUGGGACUGGUCGAAUGAGGCACUUAAAAAUUGUGUACAGCAGGUUAAGGCAUGGAUUUUUUAAAGGAAUGCCACCUAAACCCAAGAGGACAGCUGCUGCAGCAUCCAGUUCAUCU